UACGGAGGAUCCGAGCGUUAUCCGGAUUUACUGGGUUUAAAGGGUGCGUAGGCGGGCCCCUAAGUCAGCGGUGAAAGUCUGCGGCUCAACCGUAGGAUUGCCGUUGAUACUGGGGGCCUUGGAUGCGGUCGAGGCGGGCGGAAUGCGUGGUGUAGCGGUGAAAUGCUUAGAUAUCACGCAGAACGCCGAUUGCGAAGGCAGCUCGCCGGGCCGUGAUCGACGCUGAGGCACGAAAGCGUGGGGAU
rnacentral:rRNA from 1 species